rnacentral:misc_RNA from 1 species
GAUGAAGAACGUAGCGAAAUGCGAUAAGUAAUGUGAAUUGCAGAAUUCAGUGAAUCAUCGAAUCUUUGAACGCACAUUGCGCCCCUUGGUAUUCCGAGGGGCAUGCCUGUUCGAACGUCAUUAUAACCCCUCAAGCUCAGCUUGGUGUUGGGGCCUGCUGCACUGGCAGCCCUUAAAAUCAGUGGCGGCGCCGUCUGGCUCUAAGCGUAGUAAUUCUUCUCGCUAUGGAGUCCUGGUGGAUGCUUGCCAUCAACCCCCAAUUUUUCUAUGGUUGACCUCGGAUCAGGUAGGGAUACCCGCUGAACUUAAGCAUAUCAAUAAGCGGAGGA